GUCCACGCCGUAAACGAUGCAUACUAGGUGUUGGCCCGUUGGGUCAGUGCUGCAGUUAACGCAUUAAGUAUGCCACCUGGGGAGUACGUCGGCAACGAUGAAACUCAAAGGAAUUGACGGGGGCCCGCACAAGCGGUGGAGCAUGUGGCUUAAUUCGAUGCAACGCGAGGAACCUUACCUGGGCUAAAUCCACAGCGCUACCUCUGGAAACAGAGGGUUUCUUCGGAACGCUAUGGAAGGUGC
rnacentral:rRNA from 1 species